rnacentral:rRNA from 1 species
AGGACGAACGCUGGCGGCGUGCUUAACACAUGCAAGUCGAACGAAGUCCAUCCGGUAGCAAUACCGGUGAAGGCUUAGUGGCGAACGGGUGAGUAACACGUGAGCAAUCUGCCGAUCUCUGGGGGAUAGCCAGCCUAACGGCUGGGUAAUACCGCAUACGCUCGUUGGGGGGAGUCCCCUGAUGAGGAAACCUCUGGGGGAGAUCGAGGAGCUCGCGACCUAUCAGCUAGUUGGCGGGGUAACGGCCCACCAAGGCAGCGACGGGUA